ensembl:lncRNA
ACUUCUCGCUGGCAUCUAUUCUUCCCAACCACGAAGAAAACCCAGUGGCUAAUGCCUAGGGCUCCGGGUUAACGCUUCCUCCAUCCUUGUGCCUCUGCAGUUCAGUGACCUCAACAUGGGAGGAGAAAUGCGCGUGUCCCAGAAGCCCCACACAUUGGUCAAGCCAGCUGAGAGGGAUCUCUGCUGGAUUCUGUGUAGGGCAGCUCAUGAAUGUCCUCAAAACCCAACAUUUAAGAGGCACAGCUACUUGUUGUGCUUCAAGAGGGACUGUAAACCUCCGCUUGUAAUACCUGCUUCCGAAGGAGAGCUUCCCCUUAGUUAAUCAAGGUGACGUUCAAGACAUCUUCCCUGGAGGUGAAAAAACAGCUCUUGAACUGGGGAGAGAGUGGCAAACUCCUUUGUUUCUUGGUUCUUCAUGGUACCCUUAUCGCCAAACUGUCACAGGAAAAAAAGAGAGGUGAUGGUAGAUAUGUUUUAAACAAAAUUCUUGGCUGUUGGAGGAUUUUUUAAAUUAUUAUUAAUUUUUAGAGAAAAAAAAAGGCUUUGAGAGACCCAGCUGUCAUUGUGUGUAAGAGAAGACAUCUCCACCCAGAUCCAACCAAACCUUUGACUGCUCAACAGCGAUAGCAUUUCAUCGCUACUUCCUCUGCAGAUUAUGCAGACCUCCUGGCUCUGCUCGGCCCCAGUUGACAACCUGGGCACCGUGUGGGUCUUCUCAGAACCAUUCUGGCACGAUGCCAGAUGCCCCUCUUUCUUUUUGGGGGGACACUGCAGCCUCAGUGGGCAGCACCGUGAUGUCCACACACCUGCAUAAACUGAGAGACGCUGAGAUGUAAACAAAGCAGCUACUUUCUUGGAACCUGUGCAUCUGCUGUUGGAUGACAGAAAUCAGGUCUUCCCUGAGUAUUUCCCUAAAUCAAAUGUUUUGUCUCAGUUAAACAACUGUAUUGGUGGACAAUGUUAUACUGAAAAAAUGGGGCUUUUACUCAUCUGUUGGUAAAAAUAGUAUCACCUCGGGCUUUGCCUUAACUCAAACCAGAUACAUAUAGAGACAUUAGAAUGCUGUAGAAGACAGAUUUGUUUUUUAAUGGGACAAGUUUUUGGGAGCUGUUAACUAGGUUAUCCUGCCUACUGAAGCACGUUUCCGAUGGAAUUACACACAUCAUUCCCAUAUAAAUACCCACUGUCUUUAUGGUGAUUACUGCCUUUCAGAGAACAAGAAGUGUAUUAAUACUGAUCAAGCUGCUUUACGGAAAUAGAACAUUUUCACAGGAUUGGAAGCUGCUUUGCCAGUGAUGCUGUGCUGGGUCCUGGGAACUAAUUCAAGCUACUUAGCAUUAAUGAAUGAGAAUUAUUAAAACAGAAGCAAUUUUUUAAAGAGGAUGGUUCUGCCAAUCUGCUGACAUUGAACUACAACAAGAUACCCAUUAGCUAUUUUACUGUUACCUAUAUAACGUUGUCACCUGUUCUUUUCUUUUUUUCUCUCUCUCCAACAUUUUACCCUCCUUUAAGCCCUUGAGUCAUGGAAUUCCACAGUGAUUGAUGGCAGUUAGGGCUCAUAAUUCAGCAGGUCUACUGUGUGAGAUUACUUUAUAGGAGGCAAAGGAAAACUGUGCUUGUUCCUAGAUGGUACGAAGAAUGCAAAAAGGUUUGUGUAACAUUUUCCAGUGACAGUAAUAAAUAAUGUCCAUAUCUCUGUCUAUAUAUAAUACCUUCUUGUCUUUCACUAUAAAACCUGGUUGUGGAAGGCAUUUACUCAUGGACUUUACCUGAAUGGUAGCUUCAUUUUUUUUUUAAGGCUUACAAUAAGAAAUUACCUCUAAAAUAUGUAUUGCUAUUAUAUUAAAAAUUGUGAUGUGUUUUCCCCACUGCACAUGGUCAUGAGAGACCAACCAGAGGGAGAUUUUCCAGAAGAGCCCUUAAACAAAUAACAUAAACAUCCAGGCUGUAUUUCUUCUCUGCCCUGCAUUUUAAAGGCAUCUGUGAAGCACUGAGAAAAGAAAGAACAACAUCAUUUCAGGACUAGCAAAUAAUACUAACACUUAUAUGGACUGAAAACAGUCCCAGAGAAGGCGAAGGACCUGGAACUAAUCAGAAGUGAAGUCUGAGCAUAUAGACUGAGUCAGUUGGACGUGACAGCAAAGGGGCCAUCGCUGUGCCCAUGAAGCCUAAGGCAUGGAUGAACGCUUGCAGGGAGCAGGAGGAGAGGGAAGCUCACGCUGCUCCACAAGUGAGGUGGAUCGAUACAGUGAUGUUUACAAUAUCAGCAGGUGCUUCUCUAGAAGAAGUUGGAAGGCUUAGAUAAGUUUAAAACGCUAUCGUUAAUUCCAGUUUGCCUCCGGUAAAUUAAGCCACUAUCCCAAAUGGCAGGUAGCUUCUGGACAUUUUUUUCCCUAAAAUUGUCAUAAGUAAAAGGAAGUGUCU